CAGCAGCCACGGGAAUACGGAGGGGGCUAGCGUUGUUCGGAAUUACUGGGCGUAAAGCGCACGUAGGCGGCUUGGUAAGUUAGAGGUGAAAGCCUGGAGCUCAACUCCAGAAUUGCCUUUAAGACUGCCGAGCUAGAAGGUGAGGGAGGUAAGUGGAAUUCCGAGUGUAGAGGUGAAAUUCGUAGAUAUUCGGAAGAACACCAGUGGCGAAGGCGGCUUACUGGCUCAUACUGGACGCUGAGGUGCGAAAGCGUGGGGAGCAAACAGGAUUAGAUACCCCAGUAGUCCCUGUCUCUUAUAC
rnacentral:rRNA from 1 species